AUGUUAAACGUGGAAAAGCACACUUCAGUUUCCCUUCUGAUAACACUCAGGCACGGCAGCUCUCGUCCUUUGCUCUCAAAUAGAGAAUGAAUCCCUCAACAUUUCUUGGAUAAGCACUUCCCAAAUCAGGACAAGCCAGAUUUUCUACUUUCAUCUUUACUGCUGGAGGUUCCUGAUUGCGAUCAAGGUUGGAGAGAAUUUAUCCAGGACGGUUGAGUUCCCAAGCUGUACUGAAGUCCUCUGUGUCAAAGAGGUUGUAGAUCUGAUGGAGAAUCUGUUGGCAGAAACAGGUCGCUUGUGUCUCCUGGCUUUUGAUGACAGCACUUCUUUUCUGUGGAAAUGUGAAGUCCAUCCUGGCAUUCCGUCCUGCCAAAGAGGGGUUUUUAAUGAUUAAAAUGCAUGUAGAUUUCCUUGUUUUCCCGGCCCUGUUCACAGGCCAGGGGCAGCCCAGCGAGCAGGCUUGCCCUGGGCAGGGCAUCUGCAGCACCAGGGACAGAGACCUGGGCAUGGAGAAUUUGAGCGAUACCCGGGACGGCCGCGAGGGGGCGGCGGCCGGCAGAGGGCGCCCGCGCUCACCUGUUCUGGCCGCUCGCGCCGGGCGGGGAGUGGAAUCCUCGGCCCCGCCCCAGGCGCGGCGGCCACAGUUUGAUUCUCCGGGACCUGCCGCCGCGGAGGCGCCGCCGCCCCCUGGGGCCGAGCUGGCCCGCCUGGAAGACUCAAGAUGUAACAAGAAUGCCCAUGACUGGGGAUGCCUUUGCCAGUUAUGGACAAUGC
rnacentral:lncRNA from 1 species